UUUUUCAGCAUUUGUAUGAGCAAGGUUUAAGGUGUAUACAGCCAAGCCUUUUAGAUUUGUAGUGCCCGCAGAUUUCAACACACUUGAACAAAAUUGUGGAUUUGAGGUUUUUGGACAGAUGGUGGAAACGACGUCAUUAGAUGAUGCCACAUUUGAAAUGAUGGUGAACGAAAGAACUCCAACGAGAGAGAUAAUAAUGAGACAAGAGUUAUUGGCCAUUUUAAUUUUUCUUUGUUGUUUCCCGUCCUUAUUGAUAUGAUUCAUUUGAUAAAUACAUAUAUAUAUAGAUGAAAUUUAGAGAAAUUGUUUGUUUUUCUUAUGGAGGAGAAAUGGCAGUUGUGAUUACAUAACUAAAUAACCCAUUCUAGUCUUUUGUUUGGUACUUUUAUCUUGAAAUAGCCCACCCAAAUCAAUUCAUGAAUAAUCACAUUAAUUGUCUUUUUUUUUUUUUACAUAAUUACAACUAAGAUGGGCUUUAUUUUUAUUUUUAUUCAAAAGAUACGACUAAGAUGUUAAAUUUUGAAUUUUCUCAUCAAUCCAUUAGAGGUGACCUAUGCUCCAAUCUUUUCUUACCAACAAUUUAGGCCUUAUAAGUGUAUAGAAAAUUGAACAGUGAAUAGGAUAGUUAGGCUUUGUAAAACUUACAAGUUACAUAGUCCAAACUCUGAUGUCUCUUCCGUUCCUGUCCUGCUUUGAUUUUACCCCCUUCUUUUCUCAAAUACAUUUUUCUACAUUGUCGUUUCUUCUUCUCUAACUCAUUUUUUCCAAUUAUAUAACAUGUCCGUAUGUACCAGAAAUACAGUGAGCGGAAUUCAUGGAAGUUUUUCCCUGUUUCAAGUUCUAAGGGGGGACACGAAACUUAUGUGACAGAAAUCAAAGGAUAACGUGUCUACAGUAAAUCGAAAUAAGAGUCUGGUUUUCAUUGAGUUCAACGUAUUCCUCAAACAGAAACACAGGGCCGUAUGCAUACUUCUACGACUACAGUAGUCAUCAUGCUAGAGGCAGAUGAAGUUGAAGUAGUGAUUGAUCCGAAGGACAUUGAACUGACUACUGCAAGAUCUGGGGGCGCAGGAGGGCGAAAUGUCAACAAGGUGGAGACAGCAAUUGAUCUUUCCCCAAGCCGACAGGAAACCACAUUUUUUGCACUGAAGAAAGGACUCAACUUGAGAAUAAGAUUCGGGCUUUUCUAUUGCUACGAGCCAAACUAUGAGCAUCCAUUACAAUCAUAGCAUUUCUCACAUCAUCGUAUAAAUUACGUGAAUGUGCACCUCAUUCAUACAAUUUAUGUAUUUUUCUUUUUAUGAGUACAAAUUCGGGGUAGAGGGAUUUAAACCCGAGACCUCUUGGUUCUAAGUACAUACAUACAGGCGUUAGUUGAGCUUGGUUGACAAUUUCUAUACUUUUUUAAGUAACAAAUAAUUGGAGAAAUUUUGUGGCUAUAUUUAUGAUUUUUCUCAAAGAACUUAAGGAUCUUUAUUUCCAUUUCUAUAUAUUGUGGGAAUUUUUGCAGACAUUGAUAUGGGUGAAACAAAGAAAGUAAGCGAACAAACUAAUAUUGGACAGUUGGAGUUCAGCCCUGCACGACCCUUUGACAAAGCCCUUCCCUCACUUCUAGCCACCAUUGUCCAUUGUUCACACCUAACACAACCUAGUGGUAGCAUGUCACUUCCUCCUUGCCAGCCAGUUCACCCCAGCCUGU